UACGUAGGGUGCAAGCGUUGUCCGGAAUUAUUGGGCGUAAAGAGCUCGUAGGCGGUCUGUCGCGUCUGCUGUGAAAUCCCGAGGCUCAACCUCGGGCUUGCAGUGGGUACGGGCAGGCUAGAGUGCGGUAGGGGAGAAUGGAACUCCUGGUGUAGCGGUGGAAUGCGCAGAUAUCAGGAAGAACACCGAUGGCGAAGGCAGUUCUCUGGGCCGUAACUGACGCUGAGGAGCGAAAAGCGUGGAGAGCGAACAGG
rnacentral:rRNA from 1 species